rnacentral:tRNA from 1 species
GCGCCCGUAGCUCAGCUGGAUAGAGCGUCUGACUACGAAUCAGAAGGUCGGGUGUUCGAAUCACCCCGGGCGUACCA